GUUCUUGUUCCAUUUGUAAUCGAAAAAAGUUAUCAAUUUUCAAAUUUUAAGCUUAUCGAGAGCCUUUGUCUAUGCCUUAGUGAUGAAUCACUGUUCCCUUGUGCCUGCACAAUGGGCUAGGUUAAUUAAUUACCGAUCGCCUCAGCUAGCCAAUGGGAAUUUAGCCGGCGGUUCGGCCGGCGAAAAUCGAAAACAUGGGGUGAUGGUUGCAGGCCCACUAUCAAGUUCCCUUGGGCCUGCACGCAGGCUAGGAUUAUCCCAGAGCCUUCGUUUCCUUCCCAAGGAUCGCAGGCUCGGGGAACGAGAUUGCAAUUUGCCAGGUUCAUCCCAACCUCGUUCCCAGGGUCUCUCCUUCUGUCAUCUGGGAGAGACGGAUUUUACUACAUCCCGGUGUCACAGUGAUAUGAGUAUCCCCCUCUUUUGUGUAUCCCCUACUAAUAUCACUAGGGAUAUGUGUAUCCCCAUGCUCACCUCACUAGGGAUAUGUGUAUCCCCAGCAAUAUGGCGGUCGUGUUCUGCGUAUCCCUAAAGAACCACCCUACAUUCCCACAUCACUAGGGAUACAAGUAUCCCUAAGAUUUCGCGGGAAAUAAAACAUGCAGAACUGCACAUACAAGCUUGAAAAUAACACUCUAAAUAGUGUGUUGGAUUGUGUUUUGAACAAGACUAAUACCAAAAAGAUAUGUUGAAAGGGGCCGAAGUUAUAUUCGGCGAAAGGUAUGGCUUAGUGAUGCAUUGUUUACAUUCUUCGAGUUUAUUGUCUAUAGUAUGGUAUGGUUAAUUUACAUUGUUCGAGUAUGCCUAGUUUAUAAUUUAUGGCUAUUUUACAUUGUUCGAUUUCAUAGAACUUUUCAAGCGGAUUUUUUUUGUGGUACUUUCGUAUUUCUACUGCAAAUACUCGCGGAGUUCUGUAAUAUUUAAACUUCCUGUCAUAUACGUCGGAAAUCAAGUAAUACGGAGCCAUAUGAGUUAAUGUUAGGAGUAAUUCUACACUAUGUUCUACACCAAUUUAUGCGACGCGAACAUGCUAUCCUACAGUUACAACAUAAGCACAAUCACAUUAUACACAUUUACUGCAGCAUUUAAUAACUGUAAAAACGUAAAUACUUAAUAUCGGAAAAUAAAGGCACAGAUAAAUGACUUUCCUCCUGCUCAUAUUUUGAAUAUUGCAUCCUUUCGCUUCUAGUGUUGUAGGUAUCCCCACCGGGGGUACUUUUAUCCCUAGGGAUAUUAGUGUGGGGAUACACAAAACACGGGGAUACUCAUAUCACUGUGACACCGGGCGUUCUUUGUCAGUGCCCGCGAUCACAAUUAGUAUUAUCAGCGG